rnacentral:rRNA from 1 species
ACGAACGCUGGCGGCAUGCCUAACACAUGCAAGUCGAACGAGACCUUCGGGUCUAGUGGCGCACGGGUGCGUAACGCGUGGGAAUCUGCCCUUGGGUUCGGAAUAACAGUUAGAAAUGACUGCUAAUACCGGAUGAUGUCUUCGGACCAAAGAUUUAUCGCCCAGGGAUGAGCCCGCGUAGGAUUAGGUAGUUGGUGGGGUAAAGGCCUACCAAGCCGACGAUCCUUAGCUGGUCUGAGAGGAUGAUCAGCCACACUGGGACUGAGACACGGCCCAGACUCCUACGGGAGGCAGCAGUGGGGAAUAUUGGACAAUGGGCGAAAGCCUGAUCCAGCAAUGCCGCGUGAGUGAUGAAGGCCUUAGGGUUGUAAAGCUCUUUUACCCGGGAUGAUAAUGAUGAUGGUAACACCAGAAGAAGCCCCGGCUAACUCCGU